AAAAGGCGCGGCGCGCUCGAACUGCGCUUCAGUGGGCUCGGCAACGCAACUGCGAUGGGCUUCGCUCUAACUCAUCGCCUUUUUGCCGUGCAGUCACUCUCGUCUGGAGUGGUGCCGCAGGACUGGAAGACAGCGAGAGACUGGAAUGAUCUGCCUGAAGAAGCAGCGGACCACUCCAGUGUGACUGCAUUCAGGACUGCCAUCGAACGCAUUUUCCUUUGAAGCAGCCCACCCCUCAUGUAAAAC